AGUAAGUCAAUGGACACAUAAAACACGUGGUUCACGUGUUAAAAUAAAACUCAGAAGUAAGUUCCAAACACACUCUCCUUUCACCUGAACCACGUUUCUCCUCCGUCGCGUUGGAGGUCGCCUCCGGCGGCAAAGGUACCUAAAUGGCCUGAAUUAAUACAUCAUUUAAUCCAGUUUCACGUCCAGAGUUCAAGAAUAAAAGGUGGAAGAACCCUAGGCAUUUAAGCAUAAAUUAAAUCACACUCUCUCGGAGUCAAAGCCCUAGAGGUCAUGGCUUCGACUCCCCUAACCCAAUGCUACACACCAGUAACUUUUACACAGUUAAAUGAUGAAGAAGAAGAUGAAGACUCACCGGAGCAACGCCAGAGUCAGGAUGAUGCAUGAUGUUGGUAUGGUUCAGGAUGGCUUAUAAAGCUAUAGGUUUAUUGUGUAUGAUGUUGCAAGAAUGUUGUUCAACUGGUUGAUGCUUUAUUUGGCAUGCCUUGGUUAGAUGUAGACUAGUUGGUUUGAAUUAGAUUGCACUAAGUCUGCUGCAAAAUGCUUUUGGCUGCAAAGUUCAUGUGGUCUGUUGGUUUGUUGUGUUUCCCUAGUGUAAGACCCUAAUUUUGACCCUAAGAUCCCUCAUGGCAUCAUGUUAUUGCAUAAGUGCAUUGCCUCAAGGAUCAUAGCAUGUUUGACUCAUCAACCCUAGGGUUGAGACUUGUUUGAGUGUUUUGAGACCACCAAACAUGCUUGUAUUGUAUAUUAUUGUUUUUCUUAUUUGAUUACUAACCAAAAGCACAAAAAUAUGUCACUAACUCUUUUUGUUUUGAAGCUCAAGUGAUCAUAUGCUUCUAGGAGGCUCCUAAGCCCAAUGAAAUGGCUAGAUGAAGAUGAGAAAAAGAAUGACAAUGGUCCACAAAGUUCCUAAUCAUCAUAUAUGUCUCCCAAGUAUCUCAACUUGCCAAUUUGAUAAAGAUAACCCAAAGGGCUUGAAGAUUGUUUCCCAAGGAAACCCUAAUUUCACUAUGCUUUAACUGUGCCUUGUCCAUGAAGCAAUCUCAACCUUUGAUCAAAUUUAAUCAAGGGAAGUUCUUUCAUUUAUCAUUUUAUUCAUAUAUGAGCCUAUUUGAGGUUCCUCAA